AAUGAAAUGCACCAGGGCCACGCCAAUCGGAGUUACCAUUGACUGACAGCAGCAUCACCAAACUUAUCACACGAACAAAGAAGGUUCUAAUUAGUGCAAAGAAAAUGUGGUGUAGUGGAGAAACCGAGAAAGGACGCUGAAUGGAUUGAUGGGGAUAUAAUGAGAGUUUAAUUGGAGGGAAUUAUAUCUGAUUUUGUGAUUAACUAAGGAUAAAUGUGUUGAAAGAAGUAAUUAGUAAAGUUUCCAUAACAAGUAUAGGAAAAGUGGUGUGGUGUGAAAUGGUUGGAGUGAAGUUGACCGUUGAGAAGGUGUUGGUCCUAUUAUCCGACAUGAAAGAGAUGUUGUUGGGGAGAGUGGGCAUUUGACGGCCCUUAUUACAUUAGUUUCUAACCCUAUUCCAUUCGACGCAGUCUCUUUCUUUGAAAUUCCCCACCCACGUGCUGCAUUUUCCCAUUCUCUCAACACAGUCCCUCUCUCACCUCCUGACACCUCACCCCCCUUAGCCUCACACGCAUUCUCGACUUAACUACUUCCAUCUCUAUCUCACCAUUUUUUUCUUUUAACUCACGGGCCAUAUCUACCAAACUAAAAUCACCUAUAUGCUUUGGUCCUCCACAUUCCUCACUUUCUGCCUCUUACUUUUUUUUUUUUCCUUUUCUCGAAGAUGAUAUUUUGAUAACUUUUUUUACAACAAGACACUUCUUAUAACAAGACAUGUAUCAUCAUUUUAUUGGUCUAUUUGAAUUUAUGUUUAAAAAAUAUUUAAAAUAGAUCAAACACAAACUGUCACGUAUGCGUUGUCAAAAAGUUCUUAAAAAAAUGUUGUUAAAAAAAGUUUUUCCUUACUUUCUCGGUGGCCAUCAUCUCAUCCUUAAUCAACGGUUUACACUUCUUCCCUUACCUUUCUUUCCUUUCCUCACACUUUCUUCCUCUUCUUAGCCCAAUUGACAAUCUUUUCGGAUUCCCGUGUCCUUGUUUGGAUUGAAUUGCAACGAAGCGAUGAAGGCAUAUAUUGGGUGAGCAAAGCAGUGUUUGAAGAGAGAGGUAUGCUUUGGUUGGAGGUAUUUUCGGUAAGAUAUCUCAAAAGGGUUAACAGUGACAUUACUUUUAAAAUGUGCAGACAAUUUUAUCAAUGCUUCGUUGGGGACUUCAUCAACAUCGCAAAACAAUGCCG
rnacentral:lncRNA from 1 species